rnacentral:rRNA from 1 species
UACAGAGCCACGAGCGUUAGGCGGAAUCACUGGGCUUAAAGCGUGUGUAGGUGGAUGGGUAAGUACCUUGUGAAAUCCCACGGCUCAACCGUGGAACUGCUUGGUAUACUGCCUGUCUUGAGGCACUCAGGGGCGAGCGGAACAGAUGGUGGAGCGGUGAAAUGCGUAGAUAUCAUCUGGAACGCCAAUGGUGAAGACAGCUCGCUGGGGGUGUACUGACACUGAGACACGAAAGCCAGGGGAGCAAACGGG